GCGGCGGACGGCUGAGUAAACCUGUCUCUGGACGCGUCCCGUAGUCGGUCACGGCGAUACGAAACAAGUAUUGCCCCGUCGGGGCGCGGAGGUUUAAUCGUCGUAUCGUAAUUAAGGUAGUUUCGAGCCCUUGGAAGAAGCGACUCCUUGUUUUUGUGGUAGAAGAACAGAAAUGAAGCUGGAGGAGACGAGGCUUCGCUUUGUCACAAUUGACGAAUCCUUGAUGUAACCGAGAAGAAGAGUGUCCGUCAUAUUUCAAAGUAAUCUUCGAAGAAGCCCGUGGAGGAAGUUCUUGGAGAGGAAAAUCGAUCUGAUCAUCGCCUGACGAAACUCUAAUCGCGGAACAGUCGUCAUUUCCGACUGUUGACGUCUGUACUGCACCUUCAGAAUGGAUGGGCCGGCAGUGCUGUCGAUGCCGCCGCUGACUUCUUCACAGAAAUCGGCACAAUCACCUCAACCGCAAUCCCAUCCAAAACAGAAUCAGGUGGGUACCGUGUCGCUUUACGGGAUCCACAUCGUGUCGCUGGUGAUCGAGGGCCA